AUGUUAGAAUAUAACUUAGUUUGAAGCUAGGUUGACUAAAUAAAAUUUAGCUAACAUU
rnacentral:tRNA from 1 species